rnacentral:tRNA from 1 species
AAAUAAGUGCCUGAGUAUAGGAUUAUCUUGAUGUGAUAAAAUAUGUUAAUAAAUUAACCUUAUUUA